CACGUAGUUAGCCGGUGCUUCUUAUCCAGGUACCGUCACCACAAGUGGCUUCUUCCCUAGCGAAAGGAGUUUACAACCCGAAGGCCGUCAUCCCCCACGCGGCGUCGCUGCAUCAGGCUUGCGCCCAUUGUGCAAUAUUCCCCACUGCUGCCUCCCGUAGGAGUCUGGGCCGUGUCUCAGUCCCAAUGUGGCCGUACACCCUCUCAGGCCGGCUACCCGUCGUCGCCUUGGUAGGCCAUUACCCCACCAACAAGCUGAUAGGCCGCGGGCUCAUCUUGCACCGAAAAAACUUUCCACCACACACACUAAAGCAUGGUCCUAUCCGGUAUUAGACCCAGUUUCCCAGGCUUAUCCCGAAGUGCAAGGCAGAUCACCCACGUGUUACUCACCCGUUCGCCACUCGAGUACCCCUUGCAAGCAAGGAGCCUUUCCGUUCGACUUGCAUGUGUUAAGCACGCCGCCAGCGUUCGUCCUGAGCCAGGAUCAAACUACU
rnacentral:rRNA from 1 species